GCUUGUUCUCACAUAAGCUGCUGCGUCUGCUCUCAUAGCGCACGUGCACCCGGGCACGACACACGGACCAGGGGAGUACACUGCCACCGGACAGCCAUUUUAACAGAGAACCUUGUCGGAUGGGAUAGCCUGAAGCCCUUCAGCAGGCAACGGCUGGUGAGAGAGGAAUCACUUUCUGCAGCAAUGAAUGAUGCCAUAAACUCAUGAAGCAUAAACAGUAUCAGAACAAGACUGCAGUGGAUGAAACCAUCGUACGAGAGCUAACAUGAUAGACCUGAGAGCAGAAGAGCCUGACCUCAUUCAGCCAGUUGCCCUUAGGCUCUUCCUGCUUGGCUGCUGCCUGCCCCUGCAGUCCCCCUUCCUCCUGCAGCAGGACAGGUGGCCGUCAAUAAAACCUGGUGUUUGUGUGUGCUCAUGGAAGUGAGUCUGGAAAAAAUGUAUAGAUCAAAAACAUGUGCCCAUUUAUCAUGUACAUUCUAAAGAAAUGUUUUACUUAAUGUCGUAUGAAAAAGACAAACCUUCUGGAGGUGGUUAACUGUUCAAGGAUGCUUAGGUACGUUUAGGCAGACCAAAUAUUUUUCUCCAUCAGACCAUACUCCAGCAUUCUCUCCAAGAGGCUGAAAACUCUUAACUCCUUACAGACUCAAAUAUGAAACGGACUGGAUGAAUGGCCUAUCGUGUGCAUGUAUCUCAGCAGUUACUGAUUACUUCAGAAGGAGGGGAGAAAACAGA